GCCGGGAUGGUCGUCGAGGGCAAGCACACCGGGCUCAUAACCCGGAGGCGGGAGGGCUGGGAGGUCUCCCCUGCGGC
rnacentral:tRNA from 1 species